UACAGAGGGUGCGAGCGUUAAUCGGAAUUACUGGGCGUAAAGCGUGCGCAGGCGGUUUUGUAAGACAGAUGUGAAAUCCCCGGGCUCAACCUGGGAACUGCAUUUGUGACUGCACAGCUGGAGUGCGGCAGAGGGGGAUGGAAUUCCGCGUGUAGCAGUGAAAUGCGUAGAUAUGCGGAGGAACACCGAUGGCGAAGGCAAUCCCCUGGGCCGGCACUGACGCUCAUGCACGAAAGCGUGGGGAGCAAACAGG
rnacentral:rRNA from 1 species